ACCGAUAGUGAACCAGUACCGUGAGGGAAAGGCGAAAAGAACCCCGGCGAGGGGAGUGAAAAAGAACCUGAAACCGUGUACGUACAAGCAGUGGGAGCACGCUUAGGCGUGUGACUGCGUACCUUUUGUAUAAUGGGUCAGCGACUUAUAUUCUGUAGCAAGGUUAACCGAAUAGGGGAGCCGAAGGGAAACCGAGUCUUAACUGGGCGUUAAGUUGCAGGGUAUAGACCCGAAACCCGGUGAUCUAGCCAUGGGCAGGUUGAAGGUUGGGUAACACUAACUGGAGGACCGAACCGACUAAUGUUGAAAAAUUAGCGGAUGACUUGUGGCUGGGGGUGAAAGGCCAAUCAAACCGGGAGAUAGCUGGUUCUCCCCGAAAGCUAUUUAGGUAGCGCCUCGUGAAUUCAUCUCCGGGGGUAGAGCACUGUUUCGGCAAGGGGGUCAUCCCGACUUACCAACCCGAUGCAAACUGCGAAUACCGGAGAAUGUUAUCACGGGAGACACACGGCGGGUGCUAACGUCCGUCGUGAAGAGGGAAACAACCCAGACCGCCAGCUAAGGUCCCAAAGUCAUGGUUAAGUGGGAAACGAUGUGGGAAGGCCCAGACAGCCAGGAUGUUGGCUUAGAAGCAGCCAUCAUUUAAAGAAAGCGUAAUAGCUCACUGGUCGAGUCGGCCUGCGCGGAAGAUGUAACGGGGCUAAACCAUGCACCGAAGCUGCGGCAGCGACGCUGAUGCGUUGUUGGGUAGGGGAGCGUUCUGUAAGCCUGCGAAGGUGUGCUGUGAGGCAUGCUGGAGGUAUCAGAAGUGCGAAUGCUGACAUAAGUAACGAUAAAGCGGGUGAAAAGCCCGCUCGCCGGAAGACCAAGGGUUCCUGUCCAACGUUAAUCGGGGCAGGGUGAGUCGACCCCUAAGGCGAGGCCGAAAGGCGUAGUCGAUGGGAAACAGGUUAAUAUUCCUGUACUUGGUGUUACUGCGAAGGGGGGACGGAGAAGGCUAUGUUGGCCGGGCGACGGUUGUCCCGGUUUAAGCGU
rnacentral:rRNA from 1 species